rnacentral:lncRNA from 1 species
AUUUAUUUAUUUAUUUUUAUUUUUAUUUUUUUUCCUUUGAGACAGGGUCUCACUCCAUCACCUACGCUGGAAUGCAGUGGUGCAGUCACAGCUCACUGCAGCCUCAAUCUCCAGGGCUCAAGUGAUCCUCCAACCUGAGCCUCCUGAGUAUCUGGGACUACAGGUGCGUGCCACCAUAGUUGGCCAAAUUUUUUUAUUUUUUUGUAGAG